rnacentral:sRNA from 1 species
GCCUGAGAGAGCGCCCUGGGAAAUGCGCCUGCGUGCUACGGAAAGGGCGGAGUUCCUUGGGAGGGGGUGGAGCCUAAAAGGGCUACCCAAAAGACGCGCAUGCGUGGUAUCGAGGGGGCGGGCAUCCUGAAAGUCUGGGGCGCCUAGAGAGCGCCAAGUAGAAUGCGCCUGCGUGACGCGGAAGAGGCGGGCCAUCCCACAUGGAGAGGAAGGCGGGAGAGGAGAACGCUCCUGCGUGCUACGGUACUUCAGCCUGUGUGUCUUCAUGGGCCCCAUUCACUUAUAUGGCUGGCUUAGUUCUUUCUUAAUUUCAAGACCUAUGAAGACAUUUUUAUUGGCUGUUUGCAGUAUGAAUAAUGUGAGUACAUUUCCUCGGUAUGAGAGAUCUUGUACAUUGGCCAGCCAAUAUUCUAUUAGAGAUCAUGAUUAAUUUUCACUGCCCACAGGGUUUGGAUUCACUGAGGAAACACACCUCUGGGCAUAUAGGGAGUUUCCAGAGAGGUGUAACCGAGGAGGGAAGAACCAUCCUGAAUGGGUGACUUGGCACUCUGAAUGAAAAAGAGAAAAGAAAAAGAGAAAAUGAAGAAAGAAAGCUGAGCAUCAUCUCUCCAGGCUUUCUGACUGUAGGCCAAAUGUGACCCACUACCUCAGGCUCUUGACUCUAUGCCUUCCUGACCAUGAUGAACUGAAGUCCUCUGAACUGUGAGCCAAAAUAAACAUUCUUUCCUUAA